AGGUUACUGCUAUCGAGGUUCGACUAAGCCACGCGAGUCGAAUGUAGCAAUACAUGGCGAACUGCUCAGUAACACGUGGACAACCUGCCCUUAGGUUGGGUAUAAACCCGGGAAACUGGGUAUAAUACCCGAUAGGUCUCGAUUGCUGGAAUGCAUCGAGAUUUAAAGCUCCGGCGCCUAAGGAUGGGUCUGCGGCCUAUCAGGUAGUAGUGGGUGUAGCGUACCUACUAGCCUACGACGGGUACGGGUUGUGAGAGCAAGAGCCCGGAGAUGGAUUCUGAGACACGAAUCCAGGCCCUACGGGGUGCAGCAGGCGCGAAAACUUUACAAUGCUGGCAACAGCGAUAAGGGAACCUCGAGUGCCAGGUUACAAAUCUGGCUGUCGAGAUGCCUAAAAAGCAUUUCAUAGCAAGGGCCGGGCAAGACCGGUGCCAGCCGCCGCGGUAACACCGGCGGCUCGAGUGGUAACCGUUAUUAUUGGGUCUAAAGGGUCUGUAGCCGGCCGGAUAAGUCUCUUGAGAAAUCUGGCAGCUUAACUGUCAGGCUUUCAGGAAAUACUGUCUGGCUCGAGGCCGGGAGAGGUAAGAGGUACUUCAGGGGUAGGGGUGAAAUCUUGUAAUCCUUGAAGGACCACCAGUGGCGAAGGCGUCUCACCAGAACGGACCUGACGGCAAGGGACGAAAGCUAGGGGCACGAACCGGAUUAGAUACCCGGGUAGUCCUAGCCGUAAACGAUACUCGCUAGGUGUCGGCCACGGUGCGACCGUUGUCGGUGCCGUAGGGAAGCCGUGAAGCGAGCCACCUGGGAAGUACGGCCGCAAGGCUGAAACUUAAAGGAAUUGGCGGGGGAGCAC
rnacentral:rRNA from 1 species